ensembl:lncRNA
UCUUGCUUCUAGCAUAACUUCAGAACCGUUGAUGGAAGGCAGCAGCUAGGUGGCAGUGUGCCAAACAAAAGAGUCAAGACAAAAAGAUGGUUUCUAAAGAUUCAUGACUGAGCAUGCCCUAAAUAGCAUGGAAAUCUGAACAGAAACCAGUUAAUGGCACAUAAUCCAUAAUAUAAUUGCAAUUGACAUAUUGUAGCCAUGUGGUAAAUAGGGCGAGGGUAAUUACAGUUUUGUCUUUCUUCUAGGUUCUAGGAGCGACUCUGCCCUAACCAUUCUCCAUUUAUUAUGUAAAACAGAAAUGGUGCCAUAUGCCUUGGUCUGAAGAACACUGUAAAUACAUGUUCUAGCUUAAGAUUCUCACUGAAACAAGAAAGGUACAUGACACAAGUGUGAAUGUUUACUGACAGGUAACUAUGAAAUUGAACAUGGUAUACAGCCUUCUGCUGUAUGUAUGUAUAAAAACACCACGUAGCAAUAGUUACUAAAUGGCAUACACAGUCCCUCGAGGCUGACCAGAACAAAAGUAUAAGUCAGGUGUCCUGCAAAGUGAAAAGAAUCCUUCUGCACAGAUAACCAUGCAGCACCAGCACUGCUCUGCAGUAGCACAGCCUAAGCGCUACUGGAGCUUCACACUUGUUUAACGAACCGUUUCAGUGUAACGACUACAACAUGCCCAGUGACGAAUUUGCUCCCCCAGUGGUCAGAAAAAGAAAUCCCACUCUGUACAACAGCUUUGUUCUUUCCAUAGCCUAACUACAUGGUUGAACUGCCUUCUGUGUACUUAUUACGGACAAGAAAGGAAGAAACAUGUACACAAGCAAUCCAGGAACAUAUCUUUUCUAUUGAUAAGCCUUAAGCUAGAGGAUCAUCACAUUAUCACAACCAGAAGACAGCUUCUUUGCUUGAGUAUCAGGAAAACGGGAGGAGAUUCGAGACAAUGUUUUGCUGAGAACCCUUCAGGUUUUGUUUACUACCUUGAUGAAAUACAAAGUUGGCUGCAGGAUAAGUCACGAGGACAGUAUGCCAAGAUGUGAGAACCUGCAGGAAGUCUUAGGGUCCCAACAGCCUUUUGAAACAACAGCACCUCCCUAAAACAUUACCAAACUGACAGAUGUUUUUCCUUUUCUCUUUGUGGAGAAUCAGAGACCUGUAAGAAACAUGAAAAGAAAAAAAAAUGUAAAGUCUAAUUUAAAAGCACAAAAGUAAGAACUAUCCAUAUCCAAUCCUAUCACAUCCUUCUUUUAGUCCUCCAGCUACUCUUCUUCCAAAAAUUUUUUAAAUUAAAUAGAAGCACAUUUAAUGUUUCAAAGAAAGUAACUAGCAGAACAAAUGUAUUCAUGAAAAAUAAACAACACUCAAAGGAGGACCGUUGUUAAACUCUCACUACAAAUUAAUCCGUCUGUCUACCUUCAGAUAUCUCAUGCAACUAGAUCAAAUCCUCAACAGAAAAGGAAUGAACAGCAUAUGCCUUGCUUUCUAGACAAAGAAAAUAUGUGUGUAAUGGCCUCAGGUUAUAGAAACACUAUUUCCCUACAUUUAUGAGAAAUAUUUACUUCUUUGUUAACUAAAACUAUUCUGAUACCUUCAGCAGAAAAUGUUUGUGACUCUAAUGUCAGGAAGCACAGAUGCCUAAAAAAGACUAUUUUGCCCCAGAAUAAAGUAAAAUAUUCAGAGUUUAUCAAACCAUCAUAUCCAUUCAGCACAACACGGAAUGGUUUGGGUUGGAAGGGACCUUCAAGAUCAUCCCUUUCUAACCCGUUGUCACGGGCAGAGUUGCCAUGAAACAGAACUACUGCUACUUUGCAGAGACAUUAGGCAUGGGAAGUCUGAGAUUUGGCAUGGAAUAGAUCAUCCUACUGCACACUGAUUCCUGCAGAAUUUUUCUACUUGGCCAUUUCUUCCUGUAAAUCUGUGCUUUCAACAACUGCUCUCAUUAGCUUAGAAUAAGGGGAUGCUCCGGGAAAGCUUUCCACCAACCCAUUGGCCUAGAUUGACAAAGCAUUCAGCCUAACAAGCAAGACAGCAGAUUCUUUCUUUAUUAAUUUAAAUAGAACACUUGAGCUCCAGUGCAAAGUCUUUCUGCAGCUCAGGUUACAUCCAGUGAUGGUCCAGAGGUGGGAAUAGGGAUUAGAACCUGGGUGGUAUGUAAAAAACAGUAUUUUGCCAGCCUUUUCAUUAGGCUCUCAUUUCAAACUUGAUUGUAGAUUCAGAGACGGCAUAGCUGAAAACCUUUAACUAAUUCUCCACAGUGCACAGCAAGCAGUUUGGCCAACCAUCCAGCCAACAGUUUAAACAAGACUUGGGUUGGAACUUGGUCAUUAAUCAGGUUGCGAGUCCUAAGAAUGGAGCCUGUGCUGUGAUUUGGAGGGGGACAAAAAAGAACAGCCACAACACCGAUGUGGCACAACAAAAAGGUUCAAAAUUUUGCCAUCCUCACCACUUCCUCGGUCUUGAGGGGAAAGAAGGAGGGAGGGAAAGAGGGGGCCAACCGCCAUUUCACGACCGCUCCCCGCGCGCCGCUGCCCCGACGGAAGCCGCUGCCCUGAGGGAGCUCCCGCCCUGAGGCGCU